rfam:Ovis aries breed Texel chromosome 12, whole genome shotgun sequence.
UCCCUGGUGGCUUAGAGGGUAAAGAGUCUGCCUGUAAUGCAGAAGUCCUGGGUUCGAUCCCUGGGUCUGGAA